GGCAGGGGAAGGUGAGUGAGUGACUCUCCUAGGUGCCUGGCGUUGGUCAAGUGUCAAACCACAACAAGCACCAUAGGGUCAAAAUGUUUUCAUGUAGAGGAAGAUACAAGAGAAGAACAUCAGGCUGUGUGGAACCAUGACUUGGAGAUCAGUAAUACUGUCUGUCUCCAGCUGAACCAGUUAAGCCAGUUGAACCACCAAGGUCACUGCAUUACCCACCCUGCUGCUGUUUCCACCAAACACCAAGAAACUAGAACUGCUUAGGUGCCCACAUGGCCUACUGUAGGGCCAUGGAAAUUCACUGACGUUUCUUGACUGGAUUGUUUCAAAGGUCUCCACACAAACUUCUCUUCUCUAGGCUGAAAAGCCCCAAAUUGAGAGAGAGGUCAGUAAUGGAGAUACCAUCUCAUGCUGACAUCUGAGCUCAAGCACUGGUAAGCUGGCAACAGCCCUGCUCUCCAGCCACCAAAACUCCUCCCAGCAUACAAGCAAGGGCCAACACUGGCUCUGAGAAGUGCUCGUAAAGCUGCAAAGAAGCUACUCUCCUGAGGAUGGGCAGAAGCUGGAGGAGGUAACCUUGAGAAGCCUAGCCUAAAUUCAAGAUGGGUGUAUGUAAAGAGUGAGUCCACUUUCUUGUGCAGCAUCUAGCAAGUUUGCAUAAACCACAGUACAGCUGUUGGCAGAAGUACAAGACUUGGUGGAGCUAUAAAAGCAGCCUAGACACAUUCAGGUAGAAAAUUGCCUAACCUUUCAAAAGAAAAAUUUUUAUGAUGAAGAGGACAGGAGAAAAAUGGGAAAUGAACAGGAAAAACAUGGAAAAUGAGCACUAGCAUGGAAGCAAUGAUCAAUCAUUAAAAAUGAGAGGAAUUUCUGUGACUGAAGGAAAAGCAGCAGGAAAAGGUGGCCUGGGGAAGCUGUUCACAGAAGAAUACGUUUUUCAAGCAGAUAAUGCGGAAAGCAACCAAAUACUUAGUCUUUAGACUGCAUCUCCAAACAUAGGGCCCACCUUUUGCUCUUACAAGAGAGAUAGCUUUAAGCUGGGUAACAAGAGAUCAAACAUCCUUCUAAUAUUUUGACAAUAACCAAGAACGACCAUUUGGAGUGGUUUUUAUUUGCAUUAAUAUCCAGUCUUUUUAAAUGGUCUUGGCAUGCUCUUGGCCUCAGGAACUUCCUGUGAUAAUCAGUACCAGGACUGAAUCAUGCAUUGCUGUCAAAAGAUAUUUCUUGAACCAAUAUUAUUUUGCCAGUUUGUUUUAAGGUCAUUAAAUAUUCUUUUUUUCCUAAUGCACUUUAUUUAUAAUUAUGAAGAUCUCAUAAUUAUCAAAGUAAAAAUUAGAGUGCAUUUGCAAAAGAAUAAAGUUUGAGUUGUGGUUUAUGUAAAAACCUAAUUACAGAAGUAAUUACA